CACAAGGGAGCUUGACUGCGAGACCUACAAGUCGAGCAGGGACGAAAGUCGGGCUUAGUGAUCCGGUGGUUCCGCAUGGAAGGGCCAUCGCUCAACGGAUAAAAGCUACCCCGGGGAUAACAGGCUUAUCUCCCCCAAGAGUCCACAUCGACGGGGAGGUUUGGCACCUCGAUGUCGGCUCAUCGCAUCCUGGGGCUGUAGUCGGUCCCAAGGGUUGGGCUGUUCGCCCAUUAAAGCGGUACGCGAGCUGGGUUCAGAACGUCGUGAGACAGUUCGGUCCCUAUCCGUCGUGGGCGUAGGAAAUUUGAGAGGAGCUGUCCUUAGUACGAGAGGACCGGGAUGGACGCACCGCUGGUGUACCAGUUGUCUUGCCAAAGGCAUAGCUGGGUAGCUAUGUGCGGAAGGGAUAAGUGCUGAAAGCAUCUAAGCAUGAAGCCCCCCUCAAGAUGAGAUUUCCCUGUUACUUUGUAACGUAAGAUCCCUGAAAGAUGAUCAGGUUGAUAGGUUAGAGGUGGAAGCGCGGUGACGUGUGGAGCUGACUGAUACUAAUCGAUCGAGGACUUAACCAA
rnacentral:ncRNA from 1 species